UCCACCCCUUCUUUCCAACGGAUCGUCCGGCACGUACCUGCCGGGAGAGAGAGUCACCA
rfam:Kytococcus sedentarius DSM 20547, complete genome.